rnacentral:rRNA from 1 species
UACGUAGGGGGCAAGCGUUGUCCGGAAUUAUUGGGCGUAAAGAGCGCGUAGGCGGUCCGAUAAGUCGGCUGUGAAAGUCAAGGGCUCAACCCUUGGAAGCCGGCCGAUACUGUCGGACUAGAGUCCGGAAGAGGAGAGUGGAAUUCCUGGUGUAGCGGUGAAAUGCGCAGAUAUCAGGAAGAACACCGGUGGCGAAGGCGGGUCUCUGGGCAGUAACUGACGCUGAGGAGCGAAAGCGUGGGGAGCGAACAGG